UAGGUCACUCCAUGGACCACUAAGCAAGAUUCAUUCCUCUGAGGAAUUCACCCUGCUGACCUGGCUGAGGAUUCACUGGCUGUGAGGCCCAAGUAAAGCACCUCCUCGCCACCAGUCCCAAGGGGCCUUGUGGAAGCUAUGGAUUUGUGUCACUCAGCUCUCCCUUGAAGAAAGAGCUUUCCAAUCAGCAGCAAGAUGUACAGUGAGCUGACAGCCUCCAGCUUCAGUAACUUCCAGAUGAAGAAACCAAGACUUGAAGAGGUUAAGGAAUCUCAAAUCAAGAAACUCAAAUUCACCAUACAGAAUAACCAUGAGUUUGUGAAAGUUCCCUCUCUGGAGGCAAAAAAGAAGGCAAAUUCUCAUAAUUUUGAUUGAAUGGUGUUGCCUUUGCAAAGAGGGGAAAAAGGACGAGAUUUUGGAAAGUCCGAUUGAUUCGUACCGGAUGAGAAGCCUCUUUUCUUCUUGUGAUCAGAAAGAAAUCUAUGGUUU